rfam:Solanum lycopersicum unplaced genomic scaffold SL2.40sc04296, whole genome shotgun sequence.
GUAUUCCCUGGAGUUCCCUUGACCGCUUCAUUAGGGAUUACUUUAUUGUUUGAUGCCUUGCUGAAGUGUUUGGGGGAACUCUUGGACUCAC